GACGAACGCUGGCGGCGUGCUUAACACAUGCAAGUCGAACGGUGAAGCCCAGCUUGCUGGGUGGAUCAGUGGCGAACGGGUGAGUAACACGUGAGUAACCUGCCUCUGACUCUGGGAUAAGCCUUGGAAACGGGGUCUAAUACUGGAUACGAGACGCUCGGGCAUCCGAAGUGUCUGGAAAGAUUUAUCGGUCAGAGAUGGACUCGCGGCCUAUCAGCUUGGUGGGGGGUAAUGGCCUACCAAGGCGACGACGGGUAGCCGGCCUGAGAGGGCGACCGGCCACACGGAGACUGGGACACGGCCCAGACUCCUACGGGAGGCAGCAGUGGGGAAUAUUGCACAAUGGGCGCAAGCCUGAUGCAGCGACGCCGCGUGAGGGAUGACGGCCUUCGGGUUGUAAACCUCUUUCAGCAGGGAAGAAGCGAAAGUGACGGUACCUGCAGAAGAAGCGCCGGCUAACUACGUGCCAGCAGCCGCGGUAA
rnacentral:rRNA from 1 species